GAAGGAUCAUUACUGAUUUGCUUAAUUGCACCACAUGUGUUUUUUAUUGAACAAAUUUCUUUGGUGGCGGGAGCAAUCCUACCGCCAGAGGUUAUAACUAAACCAAACUUUUUAUUUACAGUCAAACUUGAUUUAUUAUUACAAUAGUCAAAACUUUCAACAACGGAUCUCUUGGUUCUCGCAUCGAUGAAGAACGCAGCGAAAUGCGAUACGUAAUAUGAAUUGCAGAUAUUCGUGAAUCAUCGAAUCUUUGAACGCACAUUGCGCCCUUUGGUAUUCCAAAGGGCAUGCCUGUUUGAGCGUCAUUUCUCCCUCAAACCCCCGGGUUUGGUGUUGAGCAAUACGCUAGGUUUGUUUGAAAGAAUUUAACGUGGAAACUUAUUUUAAGCGACUUAGGUUUAUCCAAAAACGCUUAUUUUGCUAGUGGCCACCACAAUUUAUUUCAUAACUUUGACCUCAAAUCAGGUAGGACUACCCGCUGAACUUAA
rnacentral:misc_RNA from 1 species